rnacentral:rRNA from 1 species
GACGAACGCUGGCGGCGUGCUUAACACAUGCAAGUCGAGCGGUAAGGCCCUUUCGGGGGUACACGAGCGGCGAACGGGUGAGUAACACGUGGGUGACCUGCCCUCAGCUCUGGGAUAAGCCUGGGAAACCGGGUCUAAUACCGGAUAUGACUCCAUGACGCAUGUUGUGGGGUGGAAAGCCUUGUGCGGCUGAGGAUGGGCCCGCGGCCUAUCAGCUUGUUGGUGGGGUAACGGCCUACCAAGGCGACGAUCCGUAGCUGAUCUGAGAGGAUGAUCAGCCACACUCGGACUGAGACACGGCCCAGACUCCUACGGGAGGCAGCAGUGGGGAAUCUUGGACAAUGGGCGCAAGCCUGAUCCAGCCAUGCCGCGUGAGUGAAGAAGGCCUUAGGGUUGUAAAGCUCUUUUACCAGGGACGAUAAUGACGGUACCUGGAGAAUAAG